rfam:Gossypium raimondii Chr09_contig_593, whole genome shotgun sequence.
AAUAGGAGAAUGACAAAUCAGAUUUUUCCUCCUGAUUUUCAGCUUUUUCCUCCUGAAAAAAUUUAAAUCCAACUAAAAAUGCUAAAAAUCAGGAGAAAAAAAUUUAAUUUGUCAUUCUCCUAUU